AGUAACGCGUGAGGAACCUGCCUCAAAGAGGGGGACAACAGUUGGAAACGACUGCUAAUACCGCAUAAGCCCACGGCUCGGCAUCGAGCAGAGGGAAAAGGAGUGAUCCGCUUUGAGAUGGCCUCGCGUCCGAUUAGCUAGUUGGUGAGGUAACGGCCCACCAAGGCGACGAUCGGUAGCCGGACUGAGAGGCUGAACGGCCACAUUGGGACUGAGACACGGCCCAG
rnacentral:rRNA from 1 species